CAUGGAUAACACCAUUAAAGAUUCAUCGGUAAACGAUGGGGAUGGGUUCCAUUAGGUAGUAGGCGGGGUAAGGGCCCACCUAGCCUACGAUGGAUAGGGGUUCUGAGAGGAAGGUCCCCCACAUUGGAACUGAGACACGGUCCAAACUCCUACGGGAGGCAGCAGUGAGGAAUAUUGGUCAAUGGGCGAGAGCCUGAACCAGCCAAGUAGCGUGAAGGAUGAAGGUCCUACGGAUUGUAAACUUCUUUUAUAAGGGGAAUAAAACGCUCCACGUGUGGAGCCUUGUAUGUACCUUAUGAAUAAGCAUCGGCUAACUCCGUGCCAGCAGCCGCGGUAAUACGGAGGAUGCGAGCGUUAUCCGGAUUUAUUGGGUUUAAAGGGAGGGCAGACGGGAUGUUAAGUCAGCUGUGAAAGUUUGGGGCUCAACCGUAAAAUUGCAGUUGAUACUGGCGUUCUUGAGUGCAGUUGAGGCGUGCGGAAUUCGUGGGGUAGCGGUGAAAUGCUUGGAUAUCAGGAAGAGGUCGGAUUG
rnacentral:rRNA from 1 species